rnacentral:lncRNA from 1 species
GAAAGAUUUAAUGUGCAAUUAUCAAUGAGUGAAAGGACAUUAUGCAACCUCAGAAAUAUGCAAAAAGAAGGAAAAAGGGAAGUUAACAACCUUGGAUUAUCUGAACAGGACAGCACAGAAUUUGCUGUCAACUCCAUUGAAAUCUCCUUGGGUAUGGGCUUUUAACAAGGAUCCUAGAUGAGUCUGACAGAAGUUUGAGAAGCCCUGGGUCAUCCUGAAGUUUAUAGAAAG